AUAUAACUAAGCGGAGGAAAAGAAACUAACCAGGAUUUCCCUAGUAACGGCGAGUGAAGCGGGAAGAGCUCAAGCUUAAAAUCUCCACCUUGGUGGCGAAUUGUAGUCUAUUGAGGCUGUUGUCAGCAUAGCGACCUGGGACAAGUCCCUUGGAAGAGGGCAGCAUGGAGGGUGAUACUCCCGUCUUUGCUCAGGUUGUCUGUGUGUACGACACGCUUUCUUUGAGUCGAGUUGUUUGGGAAUACAGCUCAAAGUAGGUGGUAAAUUCCAUCUAAAGCUAAAUAUUGGUACGAGACCGAUAGCGCACAAGUA
rnacentral:rRNA from 1 species